AACUCAAACUUAUACACGAAUACAGAAGAUGGUAAAUCAUCAGCUAUAAUAUCAACCAGCGAAUCAUACAGAUCAGAUAAUAUGAUAUCAGUUUGGAUCUGCAAAUGAACGAUGAUUUAGUUGCAGGAUUAUUGUGACAUUCAAAUCAACUUACCCAACGCAUGAAGCCUGUAACCAAUGGUCACAUACACAAUAUCAUGAUGCAUGAUGAAAUCAGGCGAUCCAUAAUCACUAGGAUCCGGAGUACCCCACUGAUGACCCCCUGGAUGAAUCAUCGCAAUGACAGGUUUCAAAGUUCGGUCCUUUUUGGGCAACUGAAGCAAUGACAUGAAAAGAAAUCAUUCCUGAUUUAGGAAAAUCCACCUCCGUUGAAGAUGAGUACGAAUUAUAGUGCUUGGAGUACAAGAAUAUACAAAAUAAGUUGUUCAAGAAUGCACAAUUGAAAUACCUAUACCUACUUACCUAACCAUUCGAGUAUUUCUUAUCGUGCACCAAAUUGAA